GGCUCCUCGUUAAAGAUAAAUAAGGAGUCGGACCUGCCCAGUGAAUUUUCAACGGCCGCGGUACUCUGACCGUGCAAAGGUAGCAUAAUCAUUUGCCUUAUAAUUGAAGGCUAGUAUGAAUGGUUUGACAAGAAUGUGACUGUCUCUUUGCGAUUUCUUAGAAUUUUAUCUACAGGUGAAGAAGCCUGUAUAAAAUUAAAAGACAAGAAGACCCUAUCGAGCUUGAAAAGAGUUAAUAGAUUGACAGCUAAUAGCCUUAAAAAACUAACUAUUAUAUAUUUUAGUUGGGGUGACUGAGGAACAAAAAAAGCUUCCUUUAAAAUAUUUUAGACUAAAUAAGUACUGAUCCAAAAUAUUUUGAUUAGAAAAAUUAGUUACCGUAGGGAUAACAGCAUUAUCUUUUUUAAGAGUUCUUAUCGAAAAAAAGGUUUGUGACCUCGAUGUUGGACCAGAAUAUCCUAAAGAUGCAGCAGUCUUUAAGGGUUGGUCUGUUCGACCAUUAAAAUUCU
rnacentral:rRNA from 1 species